CAUAGUUUAAAUCAUCCUUAUCAUAAUCUUGUGACCAAGCUGAGGACGUGCAGUGUAGGCAUGAGCUGCCCAGGGCCAGGACCAGAGUUGUAAGAUAUGGCGUCUUGAUAUUCAAAAAACUGGGGAAUGGAAGAAAGUCAAACUCGCAAUCUCCUGGAAGAUCUUUAGUGUGCCCUGAAGCCUGCCUUCUCCCUCCAGACCCACUGCCUGAGGGAUGGACCCUCACC